AUUAUUGGACCGGCGCAAAGACGACCUAGAGCGCAAAGCAUUUCCCAAGAAUGUUUUCAUUAAUCAAGAACGAAAGUCGGAGGUCAGAAGACGAUCAGAUACCGUCGUAGUUCCGCCCAUAAACGAUGCCGACUGGCGAUCCGGCGGCGUUAUUCCCAUGACCCGCCGGGCAGCUCCCGGGAAACCCAAGUCUUUGGGUUCCGGCGGGAGUAUGGUUGCAAAGCUGAAACUUAAAGGAAUUGACGGAAGGGCACCACCAGGAGUGGAGCCUGCGGCUUAAUUUGACUCAACACGGGAAACCUCACCCGGCCCGGACACGGGCAGGAUUGACAGAUUGAGAGCUCUUUCUUGAUUCCGUGGGCGGGGGUGCAUGGCCGUUCUUAGUUGGUGGAGCGAUUUGUCUGGUUAAUUCCGAUAACGAACGAGACUCUGGCAUGCUAACUAGUUACGCGACCCCCGAGCGGUCGGCGUCCAACUUCUUAGAGGGACAAGUGGCGUUCAGCCACCCGAGAUUGAGCAAUAACAGGUCUGUGAUGCCCUUAGAUGUCCGGGGCCGCACGCGCGCUACACUGACUGGCUCAGCUUGUGCCUACCCUCCGCCGGCAGGCGCGGGUAACCCGUUGAACCCCA
rnacentral:rRNA from 1 species